rfam:Lupinus angustifolius cultivar Tanjil contig_4178, whole genome shotgun sequence.
UGGUGCGAUCAUACCAGCACUAAUGCUUCGGAUCCCAUCAGAACUCCGCAUGUAAGCGUGCUUGGGCGAGCGUAGUACUAGGAUUGGUGACCUCCUGGGAAGUCCUCGUGUUGAACCUC